rnacentral:rRNA from 1 species
AUUGAACGCUGGCGGCAGGCCUAACACAUGCAAGUCGAGCGGAUGAAGGGAGCUUGCUCCUGGAUUCAGCGGCGGACGGGAGAGUAAUGCCUAGGAAUCUGCCUGGUAGUGGGGGAUAACGUCCGGAAACGGGCGCUAAUACCGCAUACGUCCUGAGGGAGAAAGUGGGGGAUCUUCGGACCUCACGCCAUCAGAUGAGCCUAGGUCGGAUUAGCUAGUUGGUGGGGUAAAGGCCUACCAAGGCGACGAUCCGUAACUGGUCUGAGAGGAUGAUCAGUCACACUGGAACUGAGACACGGUCCAGACUCCUACGGGAGGCAGCAGUGGGGAAUAUUGGACAAUGGGCGAAAGCCUGAUCCAGCCAUGCCGCGUGUGUGAAGAAGGUCUUCGGAUUGUAAAGCACUUUAAGUUGGGAAGAAGGGCAGUAAGUUAAUACCUUGCUGUUUUGACGUUACCAACAGAAUAAGCACCGGCUAACUUCGUG